rnacentral:rRNA from 1 species
GCAAAACGCGAAGAACCUUACCUACUCUUGACAUCCAGAGAACUUAGCAGAGAUGCUUUGGUGCCUUCGGGAACUCUGAGACAGGUGCUGCAUGGCUGUCGUCAGCUCGUGUUGUGAAAUGUUGGGUUAAGUCCCGCAACGAGCGCAACCCUUAUCCUUUGUUGCCAGCGGUUAGGCCGGGAACUCAAAGGAGACUGCCAGUGAUAAACUGGAGGAAGGUGGGGAUGACGUCAAGUCAUCAUGGCCCUUACGAGUAGGGCUACACACGUGCUACAAUGGCGCAUACAAAGAGAAGCGACCUCGCGAGAGCAAGCGGACCUCAUAAAGUGCGUCGUAGUCCGGAUUGGAGUCUGCAACUCGACUCCAUGAAGUCGGAAUCGCUAGUAAUCGUAGAUCAGAAUGCUACGGUGAAUACGUUCCCGGGUCUUGUACACACCG